GUCCUUGUUUAUAACUGAUCAAGUUUUGAGCAUUUUUACCUUGGGAAAAUAGGUGAGUACAGACGAAUUUAUUACCUCCUCAUUUUCAGUAUAAGUGGCAGAGUUUGACCAGUGUAAUUUUCUUUUGCAGAGUUUGACGAGUUGUUUGCAUAUCAUAUGUUACUGCUCAAGUCCAAAAACAUAUGAUGGAAUAAUUCUUUAGGAAGUUGAUUUGGAGGAUUGCAAGAAGUGAAACAAAAGGUGGGCAACCUCUGUACUAUAUGAAAGUUAUCUUAUAUCUCAGAUUUUUCAAGUUUUUAUAUAUCUUUCAACAAAUACCUUCACAAUCAGCUCAUCGGCGCAUAGAGUUUUAGUUGUGAUGCAGGCUGGUGGAAUUUGGACAAGAGGGGUUGCUCUGAUGGUAAGAAACCCCCACUUCCAACCGAGAGGUUGUGAGUUCGAGUCUCCGAAAGAGCAAGGUGGGAAGUUUCUUGGAGGGAAAGAUGCUGGGGGUCUAUUUGGAAACAGCCUCUCUACCCCAGGGUAGAGGUAAGGUCUGAGUACAUACUACCCUCCCCAGACCCCACUAUGUGGGAUUAUACUAGGUCAAAAUAAUUUGAAUUCCUUUAUUUUCCGAAAAGAAGAGGACAUGAUGAGGGUUAUAGCAUUAAGUUAUUACAAUUUACGUGAUCCCUUGAAGUCGUGCUUGAUUCACCUUGCAAGUAUUCCGAAGGACGAAGUAAUUCCAAUCCGUAAUUUGGAAAUUUUAUGGCCUGCUGAAGGAUUUUUGGAGCAGAGAGAGAAGAAGAGUGUGGAAGAAGUGGUUGCGAUUUAUCUGGAUAAUUUAAUUUCCAGUAGCUUGGUAAUUUCUUUCGAUAAAAUAGGUGACGAUCAGACUUGCCAAAUUCAUGAUCUUGUGCAUGAGUUUUGUUUGAUAAAAGCAAGAGAGGAAAAGUUAUUUGACUUGAUAAGUUCAAGUGCUCCAUCAUCAUCUUCUUCAGAUUUGAUGCCACGUCAAAUGAACAUUGCAUAUAGUAAGUGGCAUAACAACAGGCAUUCUGGUAAACACCUUUAUUCUUUGAGGAUAACUGGACACAAGUUUGGUGACAAUAGUCUUAAUGAUAUAUGUCACCUAAGACACUUGAGGCUUCUUAGAGUGUUGCAACUGGAUGACUCUUCAAUUCUGUUGAGUGAUUCUUUGUUGAAUGAAAUAUGCAGACUGGUUCAUUUGAGAUACUUAGAGAUUCGCACAGAAGUUAAAUCUCUGCCUUCGUCGUUUUCAAAUCUCUUGAAUCUGGAAACUCUGUGGGUGAAUAAAUAUGGACCACCCAUGGUAUUAUUACCAACAAUUUGGAAUCUUAUAAAGUUGCGAGUGCUGGCUAUAUAUAAAUGUUUCUUCUUUGUUUUGUAUAAGAAUGAGUCAAUACUGGUUGCAGAGAACUCAAAGUCAGAGAGCUUGAGAUUAUUACGGGGACUCGAAGUUUCCUAUUCAAAAGACACAGAGGAUAUUUUCAAAAGGUUUCCCAAUCUUCACAAGCUUCGAUUUGAUCUCAAGGAAUCAUGGGAUUGUUCAAGAGGGCGAUAUCGGUUCCCGAAAUUGGACUUCUUAAAUGAACUAGAAUCUCUCGAAGUAACUUUUAUAAGUUCAAAUUCAAAUGAUAGUGCGCUCUCUAUAGCGACAAAUCGGCUUUGGGAUUUUCAUUUCCCUUCGAGUGUAAAAAUGUUGUGUUUGCGUGAGUUUCCUCUGACAUCCGAUUCACUAUCAACAAUUGGAAUACUGUCCAACCUUGAAGAGCUGUACCUUAAAGACACAAUCAUCGAGGGGGAAGAAUGGAACAUGGGGGAGGAAGACACCUUCCAGAAUCUCAAAUGUUUGACAUUGCAGCGAGUGAAUCUUGCUAAGUGGGAGGUUAGAGAGGAAUCCUUUCCUGUGCUUGAGAAAUUACGACAGCGGGAUUGUCGUUAGCUUGAGGAGAUUCAGCCAAGUUUCGGGGAUAUUUGUUCAUUAAAAAGUAUCGAACUGAAGUGGAGCCCUCAACUUGUAGAAUCUGCUCUGAAGAUUAAGCAAGAUGUUGAAGAUAUGAUGGGGGAUAUUCAGGUCCUUGUUUAUAACUGAUCAAGUUUUGAGCAUUUUUACCUUGGGAAAAUAGGUGAGUACAGACGAAUUUAUUACCUCCUCAUUUUCAGUAUAAGUGGCAGAGUUUGACCAGUGUAAUUUUCUUUUGCAGAGUUUGACGAGUUGUUUGCAUAUCAUAUGUUACUGCUCAAGUCCAAAAACAUAUGAUGGAAUAAUUCUUUAGGAAGUUGAUUUGGAGGAUGACAUAUGAUGGAAUAAUUCUUUAGGAAGUGGAUUUGGAGGAUAGCAAGAAGUGAAACAAAAGGUGGGCAACCUCUGUACUAUAUGAAAGUUAUCUUAUACCUCAGAUUUUUCAAGUUUUUAUAUAUCUUUCAACAAAUACCUUCACAAUCAGCUCAUCGGCGCAUAGAGUUUUAGUUGUGAUGCAGGCUGGUGGAAUUCACACGCACCAAGAAUCAGCCCAUCGACGCAUUUGGAGUUGGAGGCUGCUGUAUCAUGAUCGAGAUGUGAAUUCAAUUUAAGUCAGAGUGUAUAUAAUAUAGGCAAGUACAGUGAUGAAGAAGUUGUGAAUACAAUGCCAUUCUCCUCAUCUCUUUCACCAAUCUUUCAAAUGCUACCCACUGAGGGCUCAAAUUUUUAAAAGCAGAAUAAUGGGUGUAAUGCCACUUCCAUUAUUACUAUUCAAAUUUGUACUGCUUUCUACCAGCAUAUGCUAUUUAUUGUAACUUUUACCUACUAUAUGCGACAAGAGGGGUUGCUCUGAUGGUAAUCAACCCCUACUUUCAAUCGAGAGGUUGUGAGUUCGAGUUUCCCCAAGAGCAAGGUGGGAAGUUCUUGGAGGG
rnacentral:lncRNA from 1 species